CCCCACCAGGCUCCUCAUCCCUCAAACCUGAACAGUGGUCUGAGUGGCUUUAAAAACAAAGGAAGAAAGUAAAAUUGAAAUGAACUUGGUGUCUUUAGUGACAAACGAGUUCAUUUCAAACAGAA
rnacentral:snoRNA from 1 species